GCUUGUCUCAAAGAUUAAGCCAUGCAUGUCUAAGUAUAAACAACUUUGUACUGUGAAACUGCGAAUGGCUCAUUAUAUCAGUUAUAGUCUACUCGAUAGUACCUUACUACUUGGAUAACCGUAGUAAUUCUAGAGCUAAUACAUGCGUAAAUACCCAACUGCUUGUCGGACGGGUAGCAUUUAUUAGAUUGAAACCAAUGCAGCUUCGGCUGGUAUUGUGUUGAGUCAUAAUAACUGUGCGGAUCGCUUUUUAAGCGAUAAAUCGAUUGAGUUUCUGCCCUAUCAACUGUCGACUGUGAUAUAGACGCUCACAGUGGUUUUGACGGGUAACGGGGAAUCAGGGUUCGAUUCCGGAGAGGGAGCCUUAAAAACGGCUACCACAUCCAAGGAAGGCAGCAGG
rnacentral:rRNA from 1 species